GCGGACGUCCGCACUUCGCUAAAGUGCGGACGGCGAUGCAGCGGAGGCGUUCCAGGCGGCGGCGGCGCGCGGCUUGCAGGAGGGAGGCCGGAGGCAUCUUGGACUGUUCUGGGCAGUGUUCACGGUCGGAGGAGGUCGGGGUUGCAGGUUCUGGGCAGCAACCCGACCUGCAACUGCAGGUUUUCUGGGCAGCCCUCCAACGACGUCGCCGGCGACUCCACCUACUGCAGACGGCUCCGCCCGACCCCUGGCGUCCUUCCGGCAACCCUCGCUGCUCCGUCGCGCCCCGAGCCGAGCUGCAGCAGCGCCGUCCGCACUUUAACGAAAGUGCGGACGUCCUCUUUGGAACGCCUCCG
rnacentral:lncRNA from 1 species